AUCCGGGAUGAAAUUUCCUUGGGUUCAUCUGAUUCAUGGGAGGCAAACAUUUACAGUGGAGGUUUUGCUGAGAGCACCUCUUUUCUUUUUUCCAGGAGCUAUUUUACUAGUAUCUUUCCAGACGUGA